rnacentral:rRNA from 1 species
GCUCCGCAUAUACCGCACCCGUUCGUAUAGGAGCCGGGGGAUUCUCCGACCCUUCCCCUGGUGGAAGAGGCCUACCGUCCGAUUAUGCCUGCUUGGUGAGGGUUAAAGGCCUCACCCCAAGGGCGACCGAAUCGGGUAAGCGGGUUCUUGAGAGGGAGCGGGCCCCGCCACCAACUUGGGACUUGAAAACACGGGUCCCAGACCUCCUUAACGGGAGGGCAAGCAGGUGGGGAAAUAUUGGGACCAAUGGGGCGCCAGGCCCUGAUCCAGGCAAAUGCUGCGUGGGGUGAAGACGGCCCUGCGGGGUUGUAAAGCCCCUUAGGGCGGGGAGGAACGACGGGACGCGGAUACCGUUUCGAAGUGACGUUACCCGCAGAAUAAGCACCGGCUAACUCCGUGCCAGCAGCCGCGGUAAUACGGAGGGUGCGAGCGUUAAUCGGAAUUACUGGGCGUAAAGCGUGCGUAGGCGGUGGGGUCAGUCAGCCGUGAAAGCCCUGGGCUUAACCUGGGAACGGCGGUUGAGACGGCCCGACUUGAGUGGGCUAGAGGAUCGUGGAAUUCCGGGUGUAGCGGUGAAAUGCGUAGAGAUCCGGAGGAACACCGAUGGCGAAGGCAGCGGUCUGGGGCCACACUGACGCUGAGGCACGACGGCGUGGGGAGCAAACAGGAUUAGAUACCCUGGUAGUCCACGCAGUAAACGAUGAGCACUGGACGCCGGGGGGGUGACUUUUCGGUGUCGUAGCUAACGCGCUAAGUGCUCCGCCUGGGGAGUACGGCCGCAAGGUUGAAACUCAAAGGAAUUGACGGGGGCCCGCACAAGCGGUGGAGCAUGUGGUUUAAUUCGAUGCAACGCGAAGAACCUUACCUGGCCUUGACAUCCGGGGUAUAUUGUCAGAGAUGACGAGUGCCGCAAGGAGCCCCGAGACAGGUGCUGCAUGGUCUGUCGUCAGCUCGUGUUGCUAAAGNU